UACGUAGGGUGCAAGCGUUAAUCGGAAUUACUGGGCGUAAAGCGUGCGCAGGCGGUUUUGUAAGUCUGAUGUGAAAUCCCCGGGCUCAACCUGGGAAUUGCAUUGGAGACUGCAAGGCUAGAAUCUGGCAGAGGGGGGUAGAAUUCCACGUGUAGCAGUGAAAUGCGUAGAUAUGUGGAGGAACACCGAUGGCGAAGGCAGCCCCCUGGGUCAAGAUUGACGCUCAUGCACGAAAGGCGUGGGGAGCAAACGA
rnacentral:rRNA from 1 species